rnacentral:rRNA from 1 species
GACGAACGCUGGCGGCGUGCCUAAUACAUGCAAGUCGAGCGGACCAAAGGGAGCUUGCUCCUGGAGGUUAGCGGCGAACGGGUGAGUAACACGUGGGCAACCUGCCUGUAAGACUGGGAUAACAUCGAGAAAUCGGUGCUAAUACCGGAUAAUAAAAGAACUGCAUGGUUCUUUUUGAAAGAUGGUUUCGGCUAUCACUUACAGAUGGGCCGCGGCGCAUUAGCUAGUUGGUGGGGUAACGGCUCACCAAGGCGACGAUGCGUAGCCGACCUGAGAGGGUGAUCGGCCACACUGGGACUGAGACACGGCCCAGACUCCUACGGGAGGCAGCAGUAGGGAAUCUUCCGCAAUGGACGAAAGUCUGACGGAGCAACGCCGCGUGAGUGAUGAAGGUUUUUCGGAUCGUAAAACUCUGUUGUUAGGGAAGAACAAGUGCCGUUCGAAAGGGCGGCACCUUGACGGUACCUAACGAGAAAGCCACGGCUAACUACGUGCCAGCAGCCGCGGAAAGUAUCG